rnacentral:rRNA from 1 species
AUUGAACGCUGGCGGCAUGCUUUACACAUGCAAGUCGAACGGUAACAGGCCUUCGGGUGCUGACGAGUGGCGAACGGGGGAGUAAUGCAUCGGAACGUACCCAGAGGUGGGGGAUAACGCAGCGAAAGCUGUGCUAAUACCGCAUGUGAUCUGAGGAUGAAAGCGGGGGACCGAGCAGCAAUGUUUGGCCUCGCGCCUUUGGAGCGGCCGAUGUCGGAUUAGCUAGUUGGUGGGGUAAAGGCCUACCAAGGCGACGAUCCGUAGCUGGUCUGAGAGGACGACCAGCCACCCUGGGACUGAGACACGGCCCAGACUCCUACGGGAGGCAGCAGUGGGGAAUUUUGGACAAUGGGCGCAAGCCUGAUCCAGCAAUGCCGCGUGCGGGAAGAAGGCCUUCGGGUUGUAAACCGCUUUUGGCAGGAACGAAACGGUGUCCGCUAAUACCGGGCGCUAAUGACGGUACCUGCAGAAUAAGCACCGGCUAACUACGUG